rnacentral:rRNA from 1 species
GAGUUUGAUCAUGGCUCAGGAUGAACGCUAGCGGCAGGCUUAACACAUGCAAGUCGAGGGGUAUUCUAGCAAUAGGAGAGACCGGCGCACGGGUGCGUAACGCGUAUGCAAUCUACCUUUCACAGAGGGAUAGCCCAGAGAAAUUUGGAUUAAUACCUCAUAGUAUAAUGACUCGGCAUCGAGAUAUUAUUAAAGUCACAACGGUGAAAGAUGAGCAUGCGUCCCAUUAGCUAGUUGGUAAGGUAACGGCUUACCAAGGCUACGAUGGGUAGGGGUCCUGAGAGGGAGAUCCCCCACACUGGUACUGAGACACGGACCAGACUCCUACGGGAGGCAGCAGUGAGGAAUAUUGGACAAUGGGCGCAAGCCUGAUCCAGCCAUGCCGCGUGCAGGAUGACGGUCCUAUGGAUUGUAAACUGCUUUUGCACAGGAAGAAACAACGCUACGUGUAGCGUCUUGACGGUACUGUGAGAAUAAGGAUCGGCUAACUCCGUGCCAGCAGCCGCGGUAAUACGGAGGAUCCAAGCGUUAUCCGGAAUCAUUGGGUUUAAAGGGUCCGUAGGCGGUUUAGUAAGUCAGUGGUGAAAGCCCAUCGCUCAGCGGUGGAACGGCCAUUGAUACUGCUAGACUUGAAUUAUUAGGAAGUAACUAGAAUAUGUAGUGUAGCGGUGAAAUGCUUAGAGAUACAUGGAAUACCAUUGC